AAACUCUGAGAAAUAAACAUAAAUGAAUCAAAACUUUCAACAACGGAUCUCUUGGUUCUGGCAUCGAUGAAGAACGCAGCGAAAUGCGAUAAGUAAUGUGAAUUGCAGAAUUCAGUGAAUCAUCGAAUCUUUGAACGCACAUUGCGCCCUCUGGUAU
rnacentral:rRNA from 1 species